UUAAGUGAAUAAGGGCGCACGGUGGAUGCCUUGGCACUAGGAGCCGAUGAAGGACGGGACUAACACCGAUAUGCUUUGGGGAGCUGUACGUAAGCUAUGAUCCAGAGAUUUCCGAAUGGGGGAACCCAACAUCUUUAAUAGGAUGUUACGAUUGUGUGAAUACAUAGCACAUUCGAGGUAGACGCAGAGAACUGAAACAUCUAAGUACCUGCAGGAAGAGAAAGAAAAUUCGAUUCCCUGAGUAGCGGCGAGCGAAACGGGAAAAGCCCAAACCAGCAAGCUUGCUUGUUGGGGUUGUAGGACUCCAAUAUGGUAGUUCUUUCAGAUAGUCGAAUGACUUGGAAAAGUCAGUCAAAGAGGGUAAAAACCCCGUAGACGAAAUGUGGAAGACACCUAGGAGGAUCCUGAGUACGGCGGAACACGAGAAAUUCCGUCGGAAUCCGGGAGGACCAUCUCCCAAGGCUAAAAUACUCCCUAGUGACCGAUAGUGAACCAGUACCGUGAGGGAAAGGUGAAAAGCACCCCGGAAGGGGAGUGAAAUAGAACCUGAAACCGUGUGCCUACAACAAGUCAAAGCCCGUUAAUGGGUGAUGGCGUGCCUUUUGUAGAAUGAACCGGCGAGUUACGAUUGCAUGCGAGGUUAAGUUGAAGAGACGGAGCCGCAGCGAAAGCGAGUCUGAAUAGGGCGUUUGAGUAUGUAGUCGUAGACCCGAAACCAUGUGAUCUACCCAUGUCCAGGUUGAAGGUGCGGUAAAACGCACUGGAGGACCGAACCCACGUACGUUGAAAAGUGCGGGGAUGAGGUGUGGGUAGCGGAGAAAUUCCAAACGAACUUGGAGAUAGCUGGUUCUCUCCGAAAUAGCUUUAGGGCUAGCCUCGGAAUUGAGAAUGAUGGAGGUAGAGCACUGUUUGGACUAGGGGCCCAUCUCGGGUUACCGAAUUCAGAUAAACUCCGAAUGCCAUUCAUUCAUAUCCGGGAGUCAGACUGUGAGUGAUAAGAUCCAUAGUCGAGAGGGAAACAGCCCAGACCACCAGCUAAGGUCCCAAAAUAUAUGUUAAGUGGAAAAGGAUGUGGGGUUGCACAGACAACUAGGAUGUUGGCUUAGAAGCAGCCACCAUUUAAAGAGUGCGUAAUAGCUCACUAGUCGAGUGACCCUGCGCCGAAAAUGUACCGGGGCUAAACAUAUUACCGAAGCUGUGGAGUACACCUUUAGGUGUAUUGGUAGGAGAGCGUUCUAAGGGCGUUGAAGGCAGAUCGUGAGGACUGCUGGAGCGCUUAGAAGUGAGAAUGCCGGUAUGAGUAGCGAAAGACAGGUGAGAAUCCUGUCCACCGAAUGACUAAGGUUUCCUGGGGAAGGCUCGUCCGCCCAGGGUUAGUCGGGACCUAAGCCGAGGCCGACAGGCGUAGGCGAUGGAUAACAGGUUGAUAUUCCUGUACCCGUUGUUUUUGUUUGAGCAAUGGAGGGACGCAGGAGGCUAAGGAAUGCAGACGAUCGGAAAUGUCUGUCCAAGCAGUAAGUCUGAAGAGGAGUCAAAUGCUUCUUUUCUUAAGGACAAGCUGUGAUGGGGAGGGAAAUAAUAGUACCGAAGUUCCUGAUGUCACACUGCCGAGAAAAGCUUCUAGUGAGAAAACAGCGGCCCGUACCGCAAACCGACACAGGUAGUCGAGGAGAGAAUCCUAAGGUGAGCGAGAGAACUCUCGUUAAGGAACUCGGCAAAAUGACCCCGUAACUUCGGGAGAAGGGGUGCUGAUCAUACGAUCAGCCGCAGUGAAUAGGCCCAAGCGACUGUUUAUCAAAAACACAGGUCUCUGCAAAAUCGUAAGAUGAAGUAUAGGGGCUGACGCCUGCCCGGUGCUGGAAGGUUAAGAGGAGUGCUUAGCGCAAGCGAAGGUACGAAUUGAAGCCCCAGUAAACGGCGGCCGUAACUAUAACGGUCCUAAGGUAGCGAAAUUCCUUGUCGGGUAAGUUCCGACCCGCACGAAAGGCGUAACGAUUUGGGCACUGUCUCAACGAGAGACUCGGUGAAAUUUUAGUACCUGUGAAGAUGCAGGUUACCCGCGACAGGACGGAAAGACCCCAUGGAGCUUUACUGUAGUUUGAUAUUGAGUGUCUGUACCGCAUGUACAGGAUAGGUAGGAGCCGUAGAAAUCGGAACGCUAGUUUCGAUGGAGGCGCUGGUGGGAUACUACCCCUGCGUUAUGGCCACUCUAACCCGCACCACUAAUCGUGGUGGGAGACAGUGUCAGAUGGGCAGUUUGAUGGGGCGGUCGCCUCCUAAAAGGUAACGGAGGCGCCCAAAGGUUCCUCAGAAUGGUUGGAAAUCAUUCGAAGAGUGUAAAGGCAGAGGGGAGCUUGACUGCGAGACCAACAAGUCGAGCAGGGACGAAAGUCGGGCUUAGUGAUCCGGUGGUUCCGCAUGGAAGGGCCAUCGCUCAACGGAUAAAAGCUACCCUGGGGAUAACAGGCUUAUCUCCCCCAAGAGUCCACAUCGACGGGGAGGUUUGGCACCUCGAUGUCGGCUCGUCGCAUCCUGGGGCUGUAGUCGGUCCCAAGGGUUGGGCUGUUCGCCCAUUAAAGCGGCACGCGAGCUGGGUUCAGAACGUCGUGAGACAGUUCGGUCCCUAUCCGUCGCGGGCGUUGGAAAUUUGAGAGGAGCUGUCCUUAGUACGAGAGGACCGGGAUGGACUUACCGCUGGUGUACCAGUUGUUCUGCCAAGGGCAUUGCUGGGUAGCUAUGUAGGGAAGGGAUAAACGCUGAAAGCAUCUAAGUGUGAAGCCCACCUCAAGAUGAGAUUUCCCAUUUCUUUAAGAAAGUAAGAUCCCUGAGAGAUGAUCAGGUAGAUAGGUCAGGAGUGGAAGUACAGUGAUGUAUGGAGCGGACUGAUACUAAUCGAUCGAGGACUUAACCAA
rnacentral:rRNA from 1 species